CUACGGGGUGCUCCAGUGAGGAAUAUUGCACAAUGGGGGGAACCCUGAUGCAGCAACGCCGCGUGGAGGAUGACGCAUUUCGGUGUGUAAUCUCCUUUUAUAUGUCAAGAAAAUAACGGUAGCAUAUGAAUAAGCACCGGCUAACUCCGUGCCAGCAGCCGCGGUAAUACGGAGGGUGCAAGCGUUACUCGGAAUCACUGGGCGUAAAGGACGCGUAGGCGGGUUGGAAAGUCAGGUGUGAAAUCCUACAGCUUAACUGUAGAACUGCACUUGAAACUUCUAAUCUAGAGUAUGGGAGGGGGAGAUGGAAUUAGUGGUGUAGGGGUAAAAUCCGUAGAUAUCACUAGGAAUACCUAAAGCGAAGGCGAUCUCCUGGAACAUUACUGACGCUAAGGCGUGAAAGCGUGGGGAGCAAACAGGAUUAGAUACCCGAGUAGUC
rnacentral:rRNA from 1 species